rnacentral:rRNA from 1 species
AGAGUUUGAUCCUGGCUCAGGAUGAACGCUGGCGGCGUGCUUAACACAUGCAAGUCGAACGAAGCACUUUAUUACAAUUUCUUCGGAAUGACGAUUUAGUGACUGAGUGGCGGACGGGUGAGUAACGCGUGGGUAACCUGCCUUAUACAGGGGGAUAACAGUUGGAAACGACUGCUAAUACCGCAUAAGCGCACAGUACCGCAUGGUACAGUGUGAAAAACUCCGGUGGUACAGGAUGGGCCCGCGUCUGAUUAGUUAGUUGGCGGGGUAACGGCCCACCAAGACGACGAUCAGUAGCCGGCUUGAGAGAGUGAACGGCCACAUUGGGACUGAGACACGGCCCAAACUCCUACGGGAGGCAGCAGUGGGGAAUAUUGCACAAUGGGGGAAACCCUGAUGCAGCGACGCCGCGUGAGCGAAGAAGUAUUUCGGUAUGUAAAGCUCUAUCAGCAGGGAAGAAAAUGACGGUACCUGACUAAGAAGCCCCGGCUAACUACGUGCCAGCAGCCGCGGUAAUACGUAGGGGGCAAGCGUUAUCCGGAUUUACUGGGUGUAAAGGGAGCGCAGGCGGUGCGGCAAGUCUGAUGUGAAAGCCCGGGGCUCAACCCCGGUACUGCAUUGGAAACUGUCGUACUAGAGUGUCGGAGGGGUAAGCGGAAUUCCUAGUGUAGCGGUGAAAUGCGUAGAUAUUAGGAGGAACACCAGUGGCGAAGGCGGCUUGCUGGACGACAACUGACGCUGAGGCGCGAAAGCGUGGGGAGCAAACAGGAUUAGAUACCCUGGUAGUCCACGCCGUAAACGAUGA